rnacentral:rRNA from 1 species
GACGAACGCUGGCGGCGUGCCUAAUACAUGCAAGUUGAGCGCUGAAGGUUGGUACUUGUACCGACUGGAUGAGCAGCGAACGGGUGAGUAACGCGUGGGGAAUCUGCCUUUGAGCGGGGGACAACAUUUGGAAACGAAUGCUAAUACCGCAUAAAAACUUUAAACACAAGUUUUAAGUUUGAAAGAUGCAAUUGCAUCACUCAAAGAUGAUCCCGCGUUGUAUUAGCUAGUUGGUGAGGUAAAGGCUCACCAAGGCGAUGAUACAUAGCCGACCUGAGAGGGUGAUCGGCCACAUUGGGACUGAGACACGGCCCAAACUCCUACGGGAGGCAGCAGUAGGGAAUCUUCGGCAAUGGACGAAAGUCUGACCGAGCAACGCCGCGUGAGGGAAGAAGGGUUUCGGAUCGUAAAACUCUGUUGGUAGAGAAGAACGUUGGUGAGAGUGGAAAGCUCAUCAAGUGACGGUAACUACACAGAAAGGGACGGCUAACUACGUG